UACGUAGGUGGCGAGCGUUAUCCGGAAUGAUUGGGCGUAAAGGGUGCGCAGGCGGUCCUGCAAGUCUGGAGUGAAACGUAUGAGCUCAACUCAUGCAUGGCUCUGGAAACUGGAGACCUUGAGUGCGCGGAAGGCAGGCGGAAUUCGUGGUGUAGCGGUGAAAUGCUUAGAUAUCACGAAGAACCCCGAUUGCGAAGGCAGCCUGCCGCAGCGUUACUGACGCUGAAGCUCGAAAGCGCGGGUAUCGAACAGG
rnacentral:rRNA from 1 species